CUUUCCCGAUCUCGUCCUCCUCACAUCGCGCCCAAAAUCCUUCUUCCCUCUCCGGCGAUUCCUCCUCGCCCGAUCGCCGGCCACCGUGAGUUCACCGCCGGCAGCGACUUUUCCAACGCGUAGCUCUCUUGGCUACCAAGUGGCUCGAUCCUCUUCUCCUCUCUCUCGAUUUCUCUCAUGCGCACGGGCGACCCGACGCCGACGGUUUCCCUGAUAGUUUCGGCCUCACCGCGUCGCCUGAGGAUUGUCGCCAGAAUUUUGAAGGGGCUGAUGCUGCCCAAGCCUUCCCCGGUGGAGUGAUCGCCUUCUCGACCAUUUUUGCGCUCGAUCGGUGGGAUCCGAUCUAGGGCACAACAAGCUCCACACUUGCUGGAUCAGAUCGGAACAACACCAUCUGGAGGCACUCGAUCAAGAGGAGGGGUUAGUUGGUACAGUGCUUAUGCGUCACUGUCUUGCUUCCAAUUCUCGAAGCUGUGGGAGUCUCGGCUUGGGAAAUUGAGACCUGGUUUAGGGUUCUUGGUAGAGGAUAGCAGAGGUUCUUGUGGGCUGUAAGCUUCAAAAAUUGUUGCCAAAGUACCAAGUGGCUUGCGGUGAGGAGAUCGGCCACAACUUCCAGCUGCGGUUCUUCAUCCGGGACUCAUUGGCCUUGUAGGAGCUCUUAUAUGUGGAUCUGCGACAGCGGGCGGUACCUGUGAGCUAGAGCCGGUGAUUUCAUCUCUCGACAGUGAGUCAACAGUGGGGAGUUUAGGUAAGGUCUUUGAUCAAGGCGGUUGACGUGACGAGAUUGACGUCGGAUUCAGCCUACAUUUACAAGCAGGUAGCUGAUAGCGAUGCUAGUACACUUGGAGGAGGAUCCCGACUGCCGGUCCCACGUCGCUU